UACGUAGGGGGCAAGCGUUGUCCGGAUUUAUUGGGCGUAAAGAGCGUGUAGGCGGCCGUACAGGUCAGCUGUGAAAACUCGAGGCUCAACCUCGAGACGUCGGUUGAAACCGUACGGCUAGAGUCCGGAAGAGGAGAGUGGAAUUCCCGGUGUAGCGGUGAAAUGCGCAGAUAUCGGGAAGAACACCCGUGGCGAAGGCGGCUCUCUGGGACGGUACUGACGCUGAGACGCGAAAAGCGUGGGGGAGCGAACAGGG
rnacentral:rRNA from 1 species